AGGACGAACGCUAGCGGCAGGCCUAAUACAUGCAAGCCGAACGGUAAUCCUGACGGCAACGUCAGGACUAGAGUGGCGUAAGGGUGCGUAACACGUAUGCAAUCUGCCCUCAACUGGGGGAUAGCUCCCGGAAACGGGAAUUAAUACCCCAUAACAUGCCAGCGAGGCAUCUUGCUGGCAUUAAAGCUACGGCGGUUGAGGAUGAGCAUGCGUCUGAUUAGCUAGUUGGUGAGGUAACGGCUCACCAAGGCGAUGAUCAGUAGGGGAACUGAGAGGUUGAUCCCCCACACUGGCACUGAGACACGGGCCAGACUCCUACGGGAGGCAGCAGUAGGGAAUAUUGGACAAUGGGUGCGAGCCUGAUCCAGCCAUGCCGCGUGCAGGAAGAAGGCCUUCUGGGUUGUAAACUGCUUUUAUCUGGGAAUAAAAAACCCGUGCGCGGGGAACUGAAGGUACCAGAUGAAUAAGCCACGGCUAACUACGUGCCAGCAGCCGCGGUAAUACGUAGGUGGCGAGCGUUGUCCGGAUUCAUUGGGUUUAAAGGGUGCGUAGGCGGCUGAUUAAGUCAGUGCUGAAAGCCCCCGGCUUAACCGGGGAGGUGGCAUUGAUACUGGUCGGCUUGAGUGCUGUCGAGGCAGGCGGAAUUGACGGUGUAGCGGUGAAAUGCUUAGAUAUCGUCAGGAACACCGAUAGUGAAGACAGCUUGCCAGAGAGCAACUGACGCUGAGGCACGAAAGUGUGGGGAGCAAACAGGAUUAGAUACCCUGGUAGUCCACACUGUAAACGAUGAUGACUCGCUGUUGGCGAUAUACGGUCAGCGGCCAAGAGAAAUCGUUAAGUCAUCCACCUGGGGAGUACGCCGGCAACGGUG
rnacentral:rRNA from 3 species